AAAUUGAAGAGUUUGAUCAUGGCUCAGAUUGAACGCUGGCGGCAGGCCUAACACAUGCAAGUCGAACGGUAACAGGAAGCAGCUUGCUGCUUUGCUGACGAGUGGCGGACGGGUGAGUAAUGUCUGGGAAACUGCCUGAUGGAGGGGGAUAACUACUGGAAGCGGUGGCUAAUACCGCAUAACGUCGCAAGACCAAAGAGGGGGACCUUCGGGCCUCUUGCCAUCAGAUGUGCCCAGAUGGGAUUAGCU
rnacentral:rRNA from 1 species